GAUGAACGCUGGCGGCGUGCCUAAUACAUGCAAGUCGAGCGAACGGACGAGAAGCUUGCUUCUCUGAUGUUAGCGGCGGACGGGUGAGUAACACGUGGAUAACCUACCUAUAAGACUGGGAUAACUUCGGGAAACCGGAGCUAAUACCGGAUAAUAUUUUGAACCGCAUGGUUCAAAAGUGAAAGACGGUCUUGCUGUCACUUAUAGAUGGAUCCGCGCUGCAUUAGCUAGUUGGUAAGGUAGCGGCUUACCAAGGCAACGAUGCAUAGCCGACCUGAGAGGGUGAUCGGCCACACUGGAACUGAGACACGGUCCAGACUCCUACGGGAGGCAGCAGUAGGGAAUCUUCCGCAAUGGGCGGAAGCCUGACGGAGCAACGCCGCGUGAGUGAUGAAGGUCUUCGGAUCGUAAAACUCUGUUAUUAGGGAAGAACAUAUGUGUAAGUAACUGUGCACAUCUUGACGGUACCUAAUCAGAAAGCCACGGCUAACUACGUG
rnacentral:rRNA from 1 species